GCUGCACCUGUGCUACGAAAACGAACACCAACGUGAUUAAACCUGAAACCCCUAAACGUCUCACAGUUUAAAAAGCAAAGGAUACUUACCCUGUGGCAACAGGCAUUUGAUGAGAAUGUCACAGAAGUAGCAGAUCCUGGAAUUUACCGAGACAAAGGCAACUAGAGUUUCCAAGAGGCUGAAUACCUGCUUUCAUUGGGCAACUAAGCCACGUGUUCAUUGUCUCUCCUGAUGUUAGCUGCCAAAUACAGCAGCCAAGCAAAGCAGAGGACUCUCUCCUCCUUCCUUCUACCAAGAAGCUUCAGCACCUGAGGUAAGAGUAUCUAAUGAAGAUGGAAACGAUCUACAAUACUUUUCUCACUCAUAAGUAUUUCCUCUAACUUUCAUCUAGGGCAUUCAGCCAUUGCAUCCCUUUCAAAACAUCCUACUAUUAAAUGCACAUUUACCAACCUGUUUUCUGAUUCACUAAGAAGUUGAGAAUUUGUCCAUUAAGCUAUUUGCAUGCUACAAAUACAACUGAGAACAUAAUAACUCAGUGGCAGAAUAUGGACCAGGAGAAUUAUAUGAUAGCUGAACUGGACAAGCCCACUGAAAACAAGAGAAGUUCCUGCAGAGUGACAUUUGUAUUGGGGCUAAAGACAAGGGAAUUGGGUGAAGUCCUGGACUGCCAAGUCUCAUACCUGAGAAGGUGCUGACAAGUAACCUGAAACACGUGCCAGGAGUUAAAGUGAGUGCCAGGCCUCAACAGGGGUACCUGAGGUUUCACUUUGUCAGCAAGUUUCUACAAUUAAAGGAAGGAAGAGAAGCUUUUAACACAAGUAUUGUCACAGCAAUGGAGCUGACAGAGCAGCUGCCAUACUUGGGUCCUCUGGGCACCUGAUUUCAGUCUUGGUGCAAAGGCUGGCCUAAAAAUGACUUUACUGCCUAACUCAAAUGCCUUAGAAAAUGACUGAGUUCAUCACUAUUAAUUUUCUGUGUGGAUGCAGCUGCAGUAUUACAGACAUUCUUACCAAUCCUUCAUACAGCACAUCCCAGCUGAGAUUUAGAUGGUUUAGUUUGUACAGGUUUCAGAAAAAGUACAGUUAAACUAGCAUUAAAUCAAAGCCGAGUGUGGAUCAAGCCUAUGGGUGGCAGCAUCUAGCUUCAGUUUAAGGUAGCCAUUUUCUCCCCAAAUCAGACUGAUUUGUAAGCAAUUGCAUUGGCAACAAUAACAAAGAAUAGAAUCUAUUUUUGGAUGUGGAAGAUGAGGAAUGAAUUAUAUUUUUCUUGUAGAUAUUAAAAUAAUACCUUGUUGUUUCAGUGGUUCUUGGCUUUUACAUUUUACAAAUGGAUUUUUAAAGUAUUUUUGCAUUAAAUUUAACAUUCCUUGAAUAUAAUAAAAAUUACAAAAAACCCCAGAAAAUAUCCACAUGGACCUUUUUCUAAAAAAAACCCAAAAAACCAACAAAGAAACAAACAAAAAACCAACCCCCCCCGCCCCCCCGCCGCCCCCCCCCCCCCCAAACCAAAACCAGAACACCACCCAAGCCCAAAAAACAACCAAAACUCAAAGUCCACAAAAGACACAUUUUCUUUCGUGUGGUCAGAUAAACAUCAGGAGACUACUGGAUUUGUUAAAUACCUUUCGAAUAUCCAGGGAGGAAAAGCUUUUCACUAGGGAAAAAAGCUAAACAUAUGUUGAGGCCAAUGUAUUCUCACUUUCCCAAAGCAACAUGGACUGGUUUGUAUGCUACUGCUAGAAAGCAAAGGAAAUGGGCUGGAGCUCACUCACACUUGAAUAAAUCCUGCCAUCUCUGUCCCUGCCUCUGCAGAGCUAGUGCCAGCAUAGUGAAGACCUUGGGAUGAGCUGUUUUUAGAAAGCUUGGCAAGAGCAAGGCUUAAUUCUGCAUCUGUUCCCAGAAUCACAGGGUCUGGAGCAGUAGUUGUGGAGCAGCAUACAAGGCAAUGAUAGAAUUAGCAAUAUACAAAUAACAGAGGCAAUGGAGGCUGUAAAAAUUAAUGGUGUGACGUUAAACAAUUUGUUAAAUGGCUUAAAGCCUCAUAACAGGUGAAUAUAAAAAUUCCUUUGUGUUUUGCUACAACCUAGAUUGUGUUAGUGGUACCAUUUAUAUAUUUAUUUUUACAAUGCAAGCCAACACACACCAGUGUGCUGUCACCAGAGGCCUUAAGUCUUUUUAACUAGGAAGGAAAGUGUCAAGGGCCUUGGAUUUCACCCUGUAUGGCCCAGGGACUCCACAGUGCGCUGGGCACGAUGUCAACUAUGGAUAUGGAAGAAGAGGUACCUCUGUGCCCAUUCGUUCCUUAGACUCUUUGCAGAGCCUUUUGGAAAACUCCACACAUAGUAUGCAUCGAAGAAACUGCGGUCUGAACUGUUUCUGAACAGCUGGACUGUAAGGAUACCAUGCAGCAGGAGUCAAGACUACUCGGCUACACAGAGAUGACUGAACAGCUUGCAGAUACAUACAACAGCAAGCUGGAAAAAGCUUUAAUUUGGUUUGGAAAAGAAGAAAAGAAAUGCCUCUUUCUUCUCUAACCACUACUUCUCACUGACAUUAAAAAAGAUUGCUGCAGAAGCUGUGUUCAGCUUCCAUAAUUAAUCAGCUAUAAAUGGAUAGAUGCCGCUGACUAGAGGAAAUAUCCAUGCUUUUGUACAAAGCAGAGCUACAAACUUCUUUUGUGAGACAACAGAUGUGCACCAUCGACCUCUAAGCAGAAAACCAAACUGUAAGUGACUGCUAAAAAAACCCCUGUGGCAGAUUACCAAAGAGUUUAAAUACAACACCUAUACGCACAGGGCUGAGCAAGAGAAAAGAAUACCAGAAAAGAUGCACAACCUGACAGCCUUGAUUUUGCCAUGAAGUGUCACAUGUAGUGAAGGUGACACCUUCUUUGAAGUGUUGUUUGCCAAGGUCACAGAGCUCUCCAGAAGUGCUUCUCCAUCAGCAUGGAUGCUCAGCACACACAGGUAAAAUAAGAGAAGGGUGAUUUUUUUUUUUUCUUAUGACAAAGUAUGAAACUUGAAAUUCAUUUGAACAGAUUGUAUUUAACAGCUGGUCAUAGAUAGUUUAUACAGGGCUAAGACAAUACAGCAGCAGUUUCUGUCCUGGACAGGACCUCAGACUGAGAACCGCAAACCAAGCUCUCUUCAUAAGCACUGUAGGAAACAGCACCACAUUCAUAAAAGGUAACACACAGGUUGGCAUGCACAGGAAAAUGAAUGAUAAUUCACAGCUCAGCCCCUCAUGGGUGGUCCUAGAUGCAGAGAUACCUCAGUGAAAUAGAAGUCCUAUGAAAAUAAAACCAAUAACGAAAGCAGUGUGAGUUACAGUGAAUAAAACCCCACAAAAUCUAUCACUAUUGUAAAAUUCUGUCAACACAGAGAAAUGCUUAAAAGGAAUAUUUUUAACAUCUGAUCUUUCCGUUUUCUAAGAAAUCUCUCUUCUAAUGGAUGGCAUGUCAGAUAACAAGCAAUAACUACAGGUACAGUAAAAUCUAAGACAAAUUUUGAACCCAGUUAACAGAAAACAUCAGAUAAUAAUCUAUGGCAUA